rnacentral:rRNA from 1 species
UACGUAGGGUGCGAGCGUUAAUCGGAAUUACUGGGCGUAAAGCGUGCGCAGGCGGUGAGCUGUGUCCGAUGUGAAAGCCCCGGGCUUAAACUGGGAAUGGCAUUGGAAACUGGCUCGCUGGAGUGUGGCAGAGGGGGGUGGAAUUCCGCGUGUAGCAGUGAAAUGCGUAGAGAUGCGGAGGAACACCGAUUGCGAAGGCAGCCCCCUGGGCUAACACUGACGCUCAGGCACGAAAGCGUGGGGAGCAAACAGG